GACGAACGCUGGCGGCGUGCCUAAUACAUGCAAGUCGAACGCUUCCUACCGGUGCUUGCACCGGGAAAGAAGAGUGGCGGACGGGUGAGUAACACGUGGGUAACCUACCUACAAGCGGGGGAUAACAUUCGGAAACGGAUGCUAAUACCGCAUAGAUCUUUUUGUCUCCUGGCAGAAAGAAGAAAGACGGUUUCGGCUGUCACUUGUAGAUGGACCCGCGGCGCAUUAGUUAGUUGGUGAGGUAAUGGCUCACCAAGACGAUGAUGCGUAGCCGACCUGAGAGGGGGAUCGGCCACACUGGGACUGAGACACGGCCCAGACUCCUGCGGGAGGCAGCAGUAGGGAAUCUUCCGCAAUGGACGAAAGUCUGACGGAGCAACGCCGCGUGAGUGAAGAAGGUUUUCGGAUCGUAAAACUCUGUUGUUAGAGAAGAACAAGGAUGAGAGUAACUGCUCGUCCCUUGACGGUAUCUAACCAGAAAGCCAUGGCUAGCUACGUGCCAGCCGCCGCAGUAA
rnacentral:rRNA from 1 species